rfam:Dipodomys ordii contig_56973, whole genome shotgun sequence.
GGGAAUGUGGCUUAGUGGUAGAGUGCUUGCCUAGCAUGCAUGAAGCCCUGGGUUUGAGUCCUCAGUACCA